CAGUAGCCGCGGGAAUACGAAGGGUGCAAGCGUUAAUCGGAAUUACUGGGCGUAAAGCGCGCGUAGGUGGUUUGGUAAGAUGGAUGUGAAAUCCCCGGGCUCAACCUGGGAACUGCAUCCAUAACUGCCUGACUAGAGUACGGUAGAGGGUGGUGGAAUUUCCUGUGUAGCGGUGAAAUGCGUAGAUAUAGGAAGGAACACCAGUGGCGAAGGCGACCACCUGGACUGAUACUGACACUAAGGUGCGAAAGCGUGGGGAGCAAACAGGAUUAGAUACCCCAGUAGUCCCUGUCUCUUAUAC
rnacentral:rRNA from 1 species